GAAGAGAGAGGGAAUUGGAGUUUUUUCUUCACCAUCUACUUCCUCUUCUUCUUCCUUUGCUAGGGCACAACAACAACAUUGCAGCAUCCCAAAUUUCGUGAUCCUUCCACUUCUCCUUCAGAACCUCUCUCCUUUGUCGAUUCAAGCUCUCCCUCGCUGGUUUUCCUCUCCAAAAAUUGUCAGCAACAAUGGAGGAACGGAUGUUUUGGAAAUUGGAUGGUGGGUUUUUGAUUUGAUCCAAAUUGCUGCUCUCCAACUGCUCUAUUUUGUUGGAAAUGGGGAUUGGGUAGUGGGUUUUGAUGGGAUGAGUUCUUAACAGGCGAUGGGACGGUGAUUUUAGGACCAUGUUCCUCUACGAUGGAGUACGAUUCUGGAAUACAUAUGUCUAUGACGGAGGGACACUCCUCUUCCCUUGCACCAUCCUUGCGCGAAGGUUCUCUUGCUAAUUUCGGAGAAAAUCAGGAACCAACUUGGAAGGUUAGAGACUGACCUUAUUACUUUAAAUGAAAAAUAAAGUGCUACAAUCUCUCAAAUUGAGAAAUACUAUGAGGCAAGACGAGAAACUGAUCGAAGACUGGAUACUCAAUAUCAACGUGAGAUUGCUGAAGGCCUUGAUAAGUCUUGACAACUGUUCAACAACAUAAUGAACAAAUAUCAAAAAGAGAAGAAAGAAAAAUUAGAAGUGAUGCAGCUUUUGAGGAAGCCAAAAGAAAGGAGAAGACAAUUCUAUUGGAUAAAAAACGUCAAGAAAAGCUUAAAACAGAAGUUGAGGUACUUGACAAAAACCAAGUCUACAACUUUGUAUUUUCACGUUGCUCUUAAGCCCCCAAAGGAUUUUUGCACUUUACUGCAUCUCACACAUCUAAAAACACAUGUGCAAGCAAAAGCCAAAGUUGAGGAAGCAAUGAAAGCUGUCAUAGAAGCUGAGAGGAGAGCAGCGAAAGAAGCUGCUGAAAACUUAAAAAAAGUUGAUAUUGUACAAGUGCAAGAAACUAUGGUUAGGUCGCUAACUACCAAACUAGUAAACUCAGUUGGCCAACCUAAAGGGACUGCUCCGGAUGAAACAUUUGUGUCAAAAUCACCAGGAGAUAACAGCUCGAGUCUUUAUGCCUCUAUUUGAGUACCCAUCUCAGCGUUGUAGAACAAACCAAACGAAAGGCAACUUAAUUCUUCAACUUAGAGCAUCCAAAUUUCUGAAGUUUCAGGAGAUGUUGAAGAGUUCUAUCAACAAUGUGAUCCUGGUACAUGCUUGUAUCUCUAUUUGCUUCUUCUUAUCUUCUAAGCUACAAAUUUAUUGUAAAUGAAGUUUGAGUUGUGUGUUAUCGUUAUCUGGAAUAUUAACUUUUGUCUCCAUUUAAUAUUAUGUGCAUUUAAUUUGUCCAUUUUUUUCUUGUCUCUUAUUUAUCACAAGUAUUGGAUUUUACAUUCUUGAUCUUAAGUUUAGAACUCCCUUCUUAGAUAUGUAUAUCGGUUCUUGCAUUGUGAGUUUUUCAAGUUAGAUUAGUACAUUAUGUGUUUGGAGUUUGAAAAUAUGAUGACUGUAGUUUGAACAUAUGAUGGUUGUGUUUUGAGUUUGAAAAUAUGUAGUUUGAUCUUUCUUUUUCAGCUAAUCUCUUAUUUGCAGCAUGAGAAUGAUAGAAAAUGAAACCCCACCCUUUUUGUUUGUUUUUCGAUUUUGAGAUUAAUGCUUUAGGUUACCCUAAAGUGAAGGUUCUUAUGGAGAAGAUGGAUCUUAAUUGGAAUCGCAUGUGAUGAACAUUGUAUCCUGGAAAAUACUAAUGCCUCUUCUGUCCCAAGAUAUUUGCAGAUGGCAGAUUGACAUUUAAUGGAUUAAGCAAAACUGUAAAAAAGUUGGACGGAGUUCAAAGGAAAGUUUGGUUUUGGAGCCUCUUUGUGAUGAGGUUGACAAAGGUCUUAACAAGGCAAAAGGGAAUCCUAUGGCAUUCUAUAAGGUUUUGCCACAAUCCAUUGGAGCAAUGAAACCAUGGAUACGCCAAUUAGUUGAUGUAUAGCCUUUUUUAUAGGUUUGGUAGGAAAUUUUUUUGUUUAAAUGUAAUUAUUUAAAAUAGUUUGUUCGUACCAAAAAACAUUUGUACUAACAAUUAAAGCAAUAUUAGUAAGUGUUUAUUUCUAUUAAAGCGUUCACCUUUUUUCCA